GAUGAACGCUGGCGGCGUGCUUAACACAUGCCAGUCGAACGGAAAGGCCCAAGCUUGCUUGGGUACUCGAGUGGCGAGCGGGUGAGUAACACGUGGGUGAUCUGCCCUGCACUUCGGGAUAAGCCUGGGAAACUGGGUCUAAUACUGGAUAGGACCACUUCUUGGAUGUUGUGGUGGAAAGUUUUUUCGGUGUGGGAUGAGCUCGCGGCCUAUCAGCUUGUUGGUGGGGUAAUGGCCUACCAAGGCGUCGACGGGUAGCCGGCCUGAGAGGGUGUACGGCCACAUUGGGACUGAGAUACGGCCCAGACUCCUACGGGAGGCAGCAGUGGGGAAUAUUGCACAAUGGGCGCAAGCCUGAUGCAGCGACGCCGCGUGGGGGAUGACGGCCUUCGGGUUGUAAACUCCGUUCGCUAGGGACGAAGCGUUUUGUGACGGUACCUGGAGAAGAAGCACCGGCUAACUACGUG
rnacentral:rRNA from 1 species